rnacentral:rRNA from 1 species
CUUUCUUUGCUGGCGACCGGCGCACGGGUGAGUAACACGUAUCCAACCUGCCCUUUACUCGGGGAUAGCCUUUCGAAAGAAAGAUUAAUACCCGAUAGCAUAAUGAUUCCGCAUGGUUUCAUUAUUAAAGGAUUCCGGUAAAGGAUGGGGAUGCGUUCCAUUAGGUUGUUGGUGAGGUAACGGUCCACCUAGUCUUCGAUGGAUAGGGGUUCUGAGAGGAAGGUCCCCCACAUUGGAACUGAGACACGGUCCAA